rnacentral:rRNA from 1 species
UACGAAGGGGGCUAGCGUUGUUCGGAAUUACUGGGCGUAAAGCGCGCGCAGGCGGUUCUCCAAGUCAGUGGUGAAAGCCCGGAGCUCAACUCCGGAACUGCCAUUGAAACUGUUGAACUUGAGGACGAGAGAGGUGAGUGGAACUCCUAGUGUAGAGGUGAAAUUCGUAGAUAUUAGGAAGAACACCAGUGGCGAAGGCGGCUCACUGGCCCGGAACUGACGCUGAGGUACGAAAGCGUGGGGAGCAAACAGG